AUGGGGAAGAGAUUUCUGCGAAAAGUCGAAAUCUUCGUCUGCAAGCCUUUUGGCAAACGCCGUCCUUCUCCUCCUCCUCCUCCUCCAUCUCCACCACCUUCGUCACUGCCGUCGCCGCCGCCGCCGCCCCCCACGUCUCCGCUGAAGCCCAAGUUCCCCUUUGUCUUCCCACGCGCCGAGUCCACGGUCCUCCCCGAUCCUUCUCCCUUCUUCUCACCGAGCCUCCUCUCUACCCCGCUCCGGACGAACUCUUUCUUCCAGAACUUUGCUCUCAACAAUGGCGACCAGGCUGAGUACAUUCACCCCUACCUUGUCAAGCCCUCCCCGUCCUCUGUCUCCAUCUCGUUCCCUUCUUGCGUCGCCUCCUCCGCCUCUUUGUACCAGGUGUUCAACGCCGACCUCACUGUCUCCGCUAUUUCGGGGGACGCCGCUGGACACGGCGUGGUGCCAGAGGCACCACAGCACAUAAUCUCGUCGUACAGCGACCUCAGCGUCACUCUGGACUUUGUGACUUCGAACCUAAGGUUCGUCCUCGUCAGGGGGAGCCCCUACUUGACCUGCUUGGUCGACCACGGGACGGAGGUUGCGAUCUCAACUAUUCACGCCAUCCUCUCGCUCUCUUCGAACAGUAGCCGCACCAAGCAUACUUUGAAGCUCAACAACAAUCAGACUUGGCUUGUUUACACUUCCUCGCCGAUCAGUUUCAGUCACAGUCUCAAUGCCAUCACUUCCGGAAGGCUUUCGGGGGUUAUUAGGAUUGCUUGUUUGCCCGACGGUGGAUCACUUAGUGAGAAGGUUUUAGAUAGGUUCAGUUCUUCGUAUGCUCUGUCUAGUGAUGCAGUGUUGACUAGACCAUUUUGUGUGGAGUACAAAUGGGGAAGAGAGGAUGGGGGGAUCUGCUCAUGCUCGCGCACCCGCUCCACGUUCGACUUUUGUCUCUUGAGGACUGUCGUGUCACUGUGUUGGAGGAUUUUAAGUACAGGAGCAUCGAUGGUGAUCUUGUUUGUGUGGUUGGAGAUUCCUGGGUGUUGAGAUCUAAUCCUGUCUCUGUUACUUGGCAUUCAAUUAGAGGCGUCAAGGAAGAGUCACGCGAUGAAAUCAUUAAAGUCCUUCGUAGGAAUGCGGAGUCCCUUAAUCUAGCUGCAAUAACGACAGCUUCAUCUUAUUCUUAUGGGAAAUUGAUCGCUAGAGCGGCGAGGUUGGCUUUGAUUACUGAGGAGGUGUGUUAUCCUGAAGUUAUCCCAGCGAUCGGGAAAUAUUUGAAGAGCACCAUAGAACCAUGGUUGGAUGGGACCUUUAGUGGUAAUGGAUUCUUGUACGAUGCGAAAUGGGGUGGGAUUAUCACCAAGCUAGGAUCAACCAAUCCUGGUGAAGAUGUUGGCUUCGGGUUGUACAAUGCUCAUCACUAUCAUUUAGGGUAUUUCCUUUAUGGAAUUGCUAUUCUCGCCAAGAUUGAUCUUGUAUAGGGAAGGAAGUACAGGCCUCAAGCUUAUUCACUGAUGUCAGAUUUCAUGAACUUGGGGAAAAGAUUGAAUUCCAAUUAUCCGCGUCUGAGAUGCUUCGACCUGUAUAAAUUGCACUCCUGGGCUAGUGGAUUGACUGAAUUUGCGGAUGGGCGGAAUCAGGAGAGCACGAGUGAGGCUGUGAAUGCUUACUAUUCAACUGUUUUAAUGGGAUUAGCCUAUGGAGACACCCAUCUUAUUGCUGUCGGGUCCAUGCUAGCUGCAAUGGAAAUACAAGCAGCUCAAACAUGGUGGCAUUUUAGAGAAGGCGAUAAUUUAUAUGAGGAAGACUUCACUAGGGAGAACAGGGUGGUGGGUGUUAUGUGGGCUAACAAAAGGGACAGUGGUCUUUGGUUUGCCGACACGGAGCGGAGAGAUUGUAGGCUUGGAAUUCAGGUUUUGCCUCUAUCGCCUAUCACUGAGGUUCUAUUCUCAGAUGUCCAGUUUGCGAAACAGUUGGUGGAUUGGACAUACCUGACACUGAACAGGGAGGGAAUUGAAGGAUGGAGAGGAUUUGUGUGUGCCUUGGAAGGGAUUUUUUACCAAGGUAAUGCGAUGGAAAAAGUGAGGAGCUUGAGUGGUUUUGAUGAUGGGAACUCUAUUUCUAAUCUUCUGUGGUGGAUUCAUAGUAGAGGUGAUGAAGAAGAGACAUGAUACAGGGAUGGAGGAAAGUACUGUUGGUUUGGUCACUAUUGUCACUGAAAUUCUUAUUUCGGGGACGGAUUCAAUUGCUUUAAUGAGAUAUUCUAUUUGGAGUAUCCAUGUACUUAUUGAUAGGGCUACUAAGAACACCUAGAGGGGGGGUGAAUAGGUGUUAAAGAAAUUUUUGCAAAACUUAACAGCUUAAUUCGUCUUUAAAAAACUGUAAAUUAAAGUAAAGAGUUUAGGGAAAGAGUUUAAGGAAAGAGAAUUGAAACACAUCGUUUAUAGUGAUUCGGCUUAGACCAAGCCUACGUCCACUCUCCCGCACUGACAGCCCACCAGCUGGAUUUCACUAAGAACCAAAAGAGAUAUUACAAUCUCACGUCCUUGAUUCCACAGUGUAGAGACUCUUCUACACUUCCUCAAGGUCUCACAAAUAUCUAUCUCUUUCAAAUACAAUAUAAGCUCAGCAAAUGAAAUAGCAAAGAACUAAGAGCUUCAGACUUUAGAAUUCUUCUAUCACACACACUCGAUUAGCUGGAGCGUCUUCCUUAUAUACUCAUCUAUACCUUCAUAUCCGUUGGCACCUUCCAAAAGGAGUUCUUUUAAUCUAUCAGUUGGAUAGAAUCAAUUUAGGGAGAUCUCGAGUUAUAAAAGGAAUGUGAUGAAAGCCCACCAAUCUUGCUCGCCCAUACAAUCAGGAUCUAGGUUUCCAUAAGUAGAACAUUCCAAGUAUAC